rnacentral:rRNA from 1 species
GCUAGUAAUGGCAGGUCAGCAUACUGCCGUGAAUACGUUCCCGGGCCUUGUACACACCGCCCGUCACACCAUGAGAGUUGGGAAUACCCGAAGCCUGUGAGCUAACAUUUAUGAGGCAGCAGUCGAAGGUAGAAUCAAUGAUUGGGGGUGAAGUCGUAACAAGGUACC